rnacentral:rRNA from 1 species
GACGAACGCUGGCGGCGUGCUCAACACAUGCAAGUCGAACGGAGCGAAUGAAAGCUUGCUUUUAUAAGCUUAGUGGCAGACGGGUGAGUAACACGUAGGCAACCUGCCGACAGGAUGGGGACAACAUUCCGAAAGGAAUGCUAAUACCGAAUGAAGUCAGAGGAGGGCAUCCUCUUCUGAUGAAAGAUGGCCUCUAUAUAUAAGCUAUCACCUGUCGAUGGGCCUGCGUUUGAUUAGCUGGUAGGUGAGGUAACGGCUCACCUAGGCGACGAUCAGUAGCCGGUCUGAGAGGAUGAACGGCCACAUUGGCGACUGAGACACGGCCCAGACUCCUACGGGAGGCAGCAGUGGGGAAUCUUCCGCAAUGGGCGCAAGCCUGACGGAGCAACGCCCCGUGAGUGAAGAAGGUCUUCGGAUCGUAAAGCUCUGUUGAUGGGGACGAACGUGCCUAAUGCGAAUAGUUUUAGGU